AGAUUGAACGCUGGCGGCAGGCCUAACACAUGCAAGUCGAGCGGUAGAGAGGUGCUUGCAUCUCUUGAGAGCGGCGGACGGGUGAGUAAUGCCUAGGAAUCUGCCUAGUGGUGGGGGAUAACGUUCGGAAACGGACGCUAAUACCGCAUACGUCCUACGGGAGAAAGCGGGGGACCUUCGGGCCUCGCGCCAUUAGAUGAGCCUAGGUCGGAUUAGCUAGUUGGUGAGGUAAUGGCUCACCAAGGCGACGAUCCGUAACUGGUCUGAGAGGAUGAUCAGUCACACUGGAACUGAGACACGGUCCAGACCUCCUACGGGAGGCAGCGAGUGGGAAUAGUGGACAAGUGGGCAAAGCCUGAUCCAGCCAUCGCCGCGUGUGUAGGAAGAA
rnacentral:rRNA from 1 species